ensembl:snoRNA U3 Small nucleolar RNA U3
AAGACUAUAAUUUUCAGGGAUCAUUUCUAUAGUUUGUUACUAGCAAAGUUUCUCUGAUCUGGCUGAGUAUUGGAAACCAUGAGGAGGAAAUGAACCAUCCUCUCCUAAGUGUGAAGCUGGCUCUUGGUGUUGCUUUGCUGUAACUGCCUUUUGUUGUUGGAAGAGUGAAAGGGAGAGAAUACUGUCUGAGCAGG